rnacentral:rRNA from 2 species
UACGUAGGGCGCAAGCGUUGUCCGGAAUUAUUGGGCGUAAAGAGCUCGUAGGCGGUUUGUCGCGUCUGCUGUGAAAACCCGAGGCUCAACCUCGGGCCUGCAGUGGGUACGGGCAGACUAGAGUGUGGUAGGGGAGACUGGAAUUCCUGGUGUAGCGGUGGAAUGCGCAGAUAUCAGGAGGAACACCAAUGGCGAAGGCAGGUCUCUGGGCCACAACUGACGCUGAGGAGCGAAAGCGUGGGGAGCGAACAGG